AGUACAAGCAACUCUUCCUGUCUUCUUAUCCAGAGUCACAAGAGGAUGGGAGAGGAGUGGUCUGCAAGCAGCAGUAGGAGCAAGACCUUGAGACGUGUCCAUCAAUGCUACUCAGAGUCUCGCUCUGUUGCCAGGCUGGAAUGUAAUGGCACAAUCUCGGCUCACUUCAACCUCCGCCUCCCGAAUUCAAGCAAUUCUCCUGCCUCAGUUUCCCUGAGUAUCUGAGACUACAGAUGCCUGCCACCAUGCCUGGCUAAUUUUUGUAUUUUUAGAAGAGACAGGGUUUCGU
rnacentral:lncRNA from 1 species